ACUCCUACGGGAGGCAGCAGUGGGGAAUUUUGGACAAUGGGCGAAAGCCUGAUCCAGCAAUGCCGCGUGAGUGAAGAAGGCCUUCGGGUUGUAAAGCUCUUUUGUCAGGGAAGAAACGGUGAGAGCUAAUAUCUCUUGCUAAUGACGGUACCUGAAGAAUAAGCACCGGCUAACUACGUGCCAGCAGCCGCGGUAAUACGUAGGGUGCAAGCGUUAAUCGGAAUUACUGGGCGUAAAGCGUGCGCAGGCGGUUUUGUAAGUCUGAUGUGAAAUCCCCGGGCUCAACCUGGGAAUUGCAUUGGAGACUGCAAGGCUAGAAUCUGGCAGAGGGGGGUAGAAUUCCACGUGUAGCAGUGAAAUGCGUAGAUAUGUGGAGGAACACCGAUGGCGAAGGCAGCCCCCUGGGUCAAGAUUGACGCUCAUGCACGAAAGCGUGGGGAGCAAACAGGAUUAGAAACCCGUGUAGUCCCA
rnacentral:rRNA from 1 species